AUCGGUUUGGAACACAGACCUUAUGAAAGCAGUUUUAGUAAAGCAGUUCUCAGUUCAAGCGUUAUCUCUAGAUACCCUUCUUCAUGAGCCUCCUCCUAAGUGCCCCAUAAGUAAAAAUCUGCAAAACAGGCCAUGUUCGCCACGUUGAGUGGCUCAAAAAAUGAAAAGGAUAUAUCUAUGUCUAACAAAAUGACUGGUUUAGUAAAAUGGUUUAACGCUGACAAAGGCUUCGGCUUUAUCACUCCACAAGAUGGCAGCAAAGAUGUCUUCGUACAUUUCUCCGCCAUCCAGAGCAGCGAUUUUAAAACCCUGGAUGAAGGUCAGAAAGUAGAGUUCUCGAUUGAGAACGGCGCUAAAGGCCCAUCUGCUGUUAAUGUUAUCGCGCUUUAAUCGCCGAUAACCUCACUAAGACUUA
rfam:Serratia proteamaculans 568, complete genome.